ACCGGUACAAGGACCAAAAUGUGAAAUUUUUUUUUUCAGAAAAAUAUGCUUUAAAAACCCAUCAAAUUUAAAUUAAAUUCAUAUAAUUAAGGAUUUAACUCCAAAAAUCACUAUAAUGAGAAUAAAAUAUUGUAAGAUUUCAAAAUAAACAUCAAAAUUUCAUUAUCAAGAAUAGUCUAAUGAUUCAAAAGAAUCAAGAUGUAAGUUGAUGAAAAAUGAUUUUUAGAAAUUCAACAAAAAUUGACACCAAUUUGUCAUAACACGUUCAAAAUAGAGAUUUAACUAAUAUGAUACCGGGGGUGGCUCUUUGAGCAUCUUUUUCAAACUAGCACCUUAUUACUCCGAAAAUUCUAAAAUAUUUAUUUUUUUUAACCCUUUUCGGUUAAUCAAUUCAAUUUUCAUGUGGUAACUUCACACACUUGCCGGACGACCGGGGUGGUAACUCUUUCCUACAUGUGGUGGUAGUUUUCACACUCCUUUUGGAUGUAACUCUUUCCACAUCUUUUUAAACAUAGGAGUUUUCUCCCUUUUUUUUAAAUUUCAAACUCCCCCUAAAUUAGACAAUCUCACAAUUGAAAAUAUUUUGACAAAUUUUAGUCUAUUAGCGAAUAUCCAUCUAUCAUAUUCAACACACACAACCGAGAUAGAUUAAUCACCAAGAGAUCAAAUUUGAUUACAAAAUUUUGAUGAAUAUAUGCAUUAAGAAAUCAUAUAUCAAAUUAUCGUUAAAAUAAUAAAUAGUGGAGUAAAAACGGUAAUUAAUAUGAAUUUAACUUAAUAUGAUUGUGAAGUUAAACACCGUUGAAACAACUUUGAAAAAUUUCUCUCCUCAAAAUAAUGAUUUUCAAUCAUCUCCUCUCUCAAAAAUUUUGAAAUCCAAAACACCUUUCCUCAAAAUGAUUUUUAAACAAACAAAAUUCAAAGCACCAAAAAUCAUUUAAACAUGUAAUGCAAUGAAUAAAAUUANUUCAAAGCACCAAAAAUCAUUUAAACAUGUAAUGCAAUGAAUAAAAUUAUGCAAUAAGCACCUAUCAAUGCACUACACAAGAAAUCAAAAACAACUAAGGCGAAAAGUAAGGAAAGAUAUCACCUUUCCGGAUCCAAACUUGUCUUUGUCGACGUUUGGUGCCAUUUGCUUAGAUUUUAGAUCAACCGUUGGUGUUUUCUUCGCUUGAGGCUUAGGUAGAACUUGGCAUUGCGGUUUAGAAGUCCGAUUCUUUUGAGGUACUCGACUCACUUGAUUUUUCUUUUGAUUCCGCGGAGGAAGUCGAGUUGUAGAUGAUGCCGCUUGAGGUUUAGAGUGUCGAUCGAUUCUUCAUUUCCUUGUUUGAGCAAUUCCUUUUAAUGUGUCCUUUCAUGCCACAUUUAUGACAUACCUUUUCAUUUAAAGUUGUUGAGACUUUAGAAGUUGAUUUUGAAUCCUUCUCAAUGUAUGUUCUUUCAUAUCCGUGUCCAAGCUUGUUCGUUUGACCCAAUCCGAGCAUAUGAUCUAGUUUCUUUGAUCCGGAAGAAAAUCGUUGAAUGUCGGAUUGAAGUUGAUGAAUUUGAUUGGUCAAUGACUUAUUGGAUGUGUGCGAUUCCUCGAAUUGUUGCUCCAAAAAUCCAACCUUGUCUUUAUAUGAUUUGAUCGUUGAUUCCGCUUUAUUAAACUUCUCUUGGAGGUCCGAAUUAUUUUUCAAAAUUGAGUCCCUUUCCUCCUCGAGAGUUUUGUUCGUGGUCUUCAAGUUGUUGUUAUCCUCUUCAAGAUUCAACAAACGACGCCUCAACUUCUUAUUAAGUUUAGC
rnacentral:lncRNA from 1 species